AGAGUUUGAUCCUGGCUCAGAUUGAACGCUGGCGGCAUGCCUAACACAUGCAAGUCGAACGGCAGCACGGUACUAGUUUACUAGUAUGGGUGGCGAGUGGCGCACGGGUGAGUAACGCGUAGGAAUAUGCCUUAAAGAGGGGGACAACUUGGGGAAGCUCAAGCUAAUACCGCAUACACUCUAAGGAGUAAAGCUGGGGACCUUCGGGCCUGGCGCUUUAAGAAUAGCCUGCGUCUGAUUAGCUAGUUGGUGGGUAAAGGCCUACCAAGGCGAUGAUCGGUAGCUGGUCUGAGAGGACGAACAGCCACACUGGGACUGAGACACGGCCCAGACUCUUACGGGAGGCAGCAGUGGGGAAUAUUGGACAAUGGGGGAAACCCUGAUCCAGCAAUGCCGCGUGUGUGAAGAAGGCCUGCGGGUUGUAAAGCACUUUCGGUGGGGAGGAGGGUUGAUUGGUUAAGAGCUGAUUGACUGGACGUUACCCACAUAAGAAGCACCGGCUAACUCCGUGCCAGCAGCCGCGGUAACACGGAGGGUGCGAGCGUUAAUCGGAAUUACUGGGCGUAAAGGGUGCGUAGGUGGUAUGGUAAGUUAUUUGUGAAAGUCCUGGGCUUAACCUGGGAAUGCCAGAUAAGACUGCUGAACUAGAGUAUUGGGGAGGGUAGUGGAAUUUCCGGUGUAGCGGUGAAAUGCGUAGAGAUCGGAAGGAACAUCGGUGGCGAAGGCGGCUACCUGGCCAAAUACUGACACUGAGGCACGAAAGCGUGGGGAGCAAACAGGAUUAGAUACCCUGGUAGUCCACGCCGUAAACGAUGUCAACUAGCUGUUUGUUAUUUAAAUAUAAUGAGUGGCGCAGCUAGCGCGGUAAGUUGACCGCCUGGGGAGUACGGUCGCAAGAUUAAAACUCAAAGGAAUUGACGGGGGCCCGCACAAGCGGUGGAGCAUGUGGUUUAAUUCGAUGCAACGCGAAGAACCUUACCUACCCUUGACAUACAGUGAACUUUGCAGAGAUGCGAAGGUGCCGAAAGGAACACUGAUACAGGUGCUGCAUGGCUGUCGUCAGCUCGUGUCGUGAGAUGUUGGGUUAAGUCCCGUAACGAGCGCAACCCUUAUUCUUAGUUACCAGCACGUAAAGGUGGGGACUCUAAGGAGACUGCCGGUGACAAACCGGAGGAAGGCGAGGACGACGUCAAGUCAUCAUGGCCCUUAUGGGUAGGGCUACACACGUGCUACAAUGGUUGGUACAGAGGGGAGCGAAGGGGUGACCUGGAGCGAAUCUUAAAAGCCAAUCGUAGUCCGGAUUGAAGUCUGCAACUCGACUUCAUGAAG
rnacentral:rRNA from 1 species